GAAAGGUAUGCUAAUACGGGAUAAUAUAUUUGAGAGGCAUCUCUUGAAUAUCAAAGGUGAGCCAGUACAGGAUGGACCCGCGUCUGAUUAGCUAGUUGGUAAGGUAACGGCUUACCAAGGCGACGAUCAGUAGCCGACCUGAGAGGGUGAUCGGCCACAUUGGAACUGAGACACGGUCCAAACUCCUACGGGAGGCAGCAGUGGGGAAUAUUGCACAAUGGGCGAAAGCCUGAUGCAGCAACGCCGCGUGAGUGAUGAAGGCCUUCGGGUCGUAAAACUCUGUCCUCAAGGAAGAUAAUGACGGUACUUGAGGAGGAAGCCCCGGCUAACUACGUGCCAGCAGCCGCGGUAAUACGUAGGGGGCUAGCGUUAUCCGGAUUUACUGGGCGUAAAGGGUGCGUAGGCGGUCUUUCAAGUCAGGAGUGAAAGGCUACGGCUCAACCGUAGUAAGCUCUUGAAACUGGGAGACUUGAGUGCAGGAGAGGAGAGUGGAAUUCCUAGUGUAGCGGUGAAAUGCGUAGAUAUUAGGAGGAACACCAGUUGCGAAGGCGGCUCUCUGGACUGUAACUGACGCUGAGGCACGAAAGCGUGGGGAGCAAACAGGAUUAGAUACCCUGGUAGUCC
rnacentral:rRNA from 1 species